rnacentral:rRNA from 1 species
UACGAAGGGGGCUAGCGUUGCUCGGAACCACUGGGCGUAAAGCGCACGUAGGCGGCUUUUUAAGUCAGGGGUGAAAUCCUGGAGCUCAACUCCAGAACUGCCUUUGAUACUGGGAAGCUUGAGUCCGGGAGAGGUGAGUGGAACUCCGAGUGUAGAGGUGAAAUUCGUAGAUAUUCGGAAGAACACCAGUGGCGAAGGCGGCUCACUGGCCCGGUACUGACGCUGAGGUGCGAAAGCGUGGGGAGCAAACAGG